rnacentral:rRNA from 1 species
UACGGACGGUGCGAGCGUUAAUCGGAAUUACUGGGCGUAAAGCGUGUGUAGGCGGCUUUGCAAGUCGGAUGUGAAAGCCCGGGGCUCAACCCCGGAAGUGCACUCGAUACUGCAGAGCUAGAGUUUCGGAGAGGUUGGUGGAAUUCUCGGUGUAGAGGUGAAAUUCGUAGAUAUCGAGAGGAACACCGGUGGCGAAGGCGGCCAACUGGACGAAAACUGACGCUGAGACACGAAAGCGUGGGGAGCAAACAGG